rnacentral:rRNA from 1 species
GGACUACCCGGGUUUCUAAUCCUGUUCGCUCCCCACGCUUUCGCGUCUCAGCGUCAGUACCGUACUAGAGAGCCGCCUUAGCCACGGGUGUUCUUCCUGAUAUCUGCGCAUUUCACCGCUACACCAGGAAUUCCACUCUCCUCUUCCGGACUCUAGCCAAACGGUUUCCACCGGCGUCUCGAGGUUGAGCCUCGAGUUUUCACAGCAGACCUGUCUGGCCGCCUACACGCUCUUUACGCCCAAUAAAUCCGGACAACGCUUGCCCCCUACGUAUUACCGCGGCGGCUGGCAC